ACGCUCGACACCUACGGGAGGCAGCAGUGGGGAAUAUUGCACAAUGGGGGGAACCCUGAUGCAGCGACGCCGCGUGAGGGAAGAAGGUUUUCGGAUUGUAAACCUCUGUCCUUGGUGACGAUAAUGACGGUAGCCAAGGAGGAAGCCACGGCUAACUACGUGACAGCAGCCGAGGUAAUCUGAGCGGGCUGGCAAGGC
rnacentral:rRNA from 1 species